GCCCAGACUCCUACGGGAGGCAGCAGUGGGGAAUAUUGGGCAAUGGGCGCAAGCCUGACCCAGCAACGCCGCGUGAAGGAAGAAGGCUUUCGGGUUGUAAACUUCUUUUGACAGGGAAGAGUAGAAGACGGUACCUGUCGAAUAAGCCACGGCUAACUACGUGCCAGCAGCCGCGGUAAUACGUAGGGGGCAAGCGUUAUCCGGAUUUACUGGGUGUAAAGGGUGCGCAGGCGGAAGAUCAAGUCAGCGGUAAAAUUGAGGGGCUCAACCUCUUCGAGCCGUUGAAACUGGUUUUCUUGAGUGAGCGAGAAGUAUGCGGAAUGCGUGGUGUAGCGGUGAAAUGCAUAGAUAUCACGCAGAACUCCGAUUGCGAAGGCAGCAUACCGGCGCUCAACUGACGCUCAUGCACGAAAGUGUGGGUAUCGAACAGGAUUAGAUACCCCAGUA
rnacentral:rRNA from 1 species